rnacentral:misc_RNA from 1 species
UCUCCGUUGGUGAACCAGCGGAGGGAUCAUUAAUGAGUUCUACAACUCCCAACCUCUGUGAACCGUACCCCACUUUGUUUUCGUUGUCUCCUGGCGGUGGGCUCCCGGGGCGACCGCCGGGGCCCCUGACCGAGGGGGCAAGUCCUUUACACAUUUUUUUCCUAACCAGACCGUCUGAGCAAACAACCUAAUGCAUCAAAACUUUUAACAACGGAUCCCUUGGUUAAGGCAGCGAAGCAGAACGGCGCAGAACGGAAGACCACACGCGCGAACUCCAGU